rnacentral:rRNA from 1 species
GAUGAACGCUGGCGGCGUGCCUAAUACAUGCAAGUCGAGCGAACAGAUAAGGAGCUUGCUCCUUUGACGUUAGCGGCGGACGGGUGAGUAACACGUGGGUAACCUACCUAUAAGACUGGGAUAACUUCGGGAAACCGGAGCUAAUACCGGAUAAUAUUUCGAACCGCAUGGUUCUAUAGUGAAAGAUGGUUUUGCUAUCACUUAUAGAUGGACCCGCGCCGUAUUAGCUAGUUGGUAAGGUAACGGCUUACCAAGGCGACGAUACGUAGCCGACCUGAGAGGGUGAUCGGCCACACUGGAACUGAGACACGGUCCAGACUCCUACGGGAGGCAGCAGUAGGGAAUCUUCCGCAAUGGGCGAAAGCCUGACGGAGCAACGCCGCGUGAGUGAUGAAGGUCUUCGGAUCGUAAAACUCUGUUAUUAGGGAAGAACAUACGUGUAGGUAACUGUGCACGUCUUGACGGUACCUAAUCAGAAAGCCACGGCUAACUACGUG